UACUGGGCGUAAGGAUGCGUAGGCGGACAUUUAAGUCAGAUGUGAAACCCCCAGGCUUAACUUGGGGACUGCAUUUGAAACUGGGUGUCUUGAGUGCAGGAGAGGUAAGUGGAAUUCCUAGUGUAGCGGUGAAAUGCGUAGAGAUUAGGAAGAACACCAGUGGCGAAGGCGGCUUACUGGACUGUAACUGACGCUGAGGCAUGAAAGCGUGGGUAGCAAACAGGAUUAGAUACCCUGGUAGUCCACGCUGUAAACGAUGAAUACUAGGUGUGGGAGGUAUCGACUCCUUCCGUGCCGCCGCUAACGCAAUAAGUAUUCCGCCUGGGGAGUACGAUCGCAAGAUUAAAACUCAAAGGAAUUGACGGGGGCCCGCACAAGCAGCGGAGCAUGUGGUUUAAUUCGAAGCAACGCGAAGAACCUUACCUGGACUUGACAUCCCCUGAAUAACCUAGAGAUAGGCGAAGCCCUUCGGGGCAGGGAGACAGGUGGUGCAUGGUUGUCGUCAGCUCGUGUCGUGAGAUGUUAGGUUAAGUCCUGCAACGAGCGCAACCCUUAUCCUUAGUUGCUACCAUCAAGUUGAGCACUCUAAGGAGACUGCCCGGGUUAACCGGGAGGAAGGUGGGGAUGACGUCAAAUCAUCAUGCCCCUUAUGUCCAGGGCCACACACGUGCUACAAUGGUGAGUACAGAAAGAUGCAAUACCGCAAGGUGGAGCAAAACUUAUAAAACUCAUCCCAGUUCGGAUUGUAGGCUGCAACUCGCCUACAUGAAGCCGGAGUUGCUAGUAAUCGCGAAUCAGCAUGUCGCGGUGAAUACGUUCCCGGGCCUUGUACACACCGCCCGUCACACCAUGAGAGCUGGCAACACCCGAAGUCCGUGAGGUAACUCGUAAGAGAGCCAGCGGC
rnacentral:rRNA from 1 species